CCCUAGCCCAGAUUGAAACGACAUCCUUUUUUGUUGCGGGCGAAGCAAAGCGAGCCCGUAACAAAAAAGAUACAGUGGAAAGCUGGAAAUAGC
rnacentral:sRNA from 1 species